AAUAUGGGGGGACCAUCCUCCAAGGCUAAAUACUCCUGACUGACCGAUAGUGAACCAGUACCGUGAGGGAAAGGCGAAAAGAACCCCGGCGAGGGGAGUGAAAAAGAACCUGAAACCGUGUACGUACAAGCAGUGGGAGCCUCUUAAUGGGGUGACUGCGUACCUUUUGUAUAAUGGGUCAGCGACUUAUAUUCUGUAGCAAGGUUAACCGAAUAGGGGAGCCGAAGGGAAACCGAGUCUUAACUGGGCGUUAAGUUGCAGGGUAUAGACCCGAAACCCGGUGAUCUAGCCAUGGGCAGGUUGAAGGUUGGGUAACACUAACUGGAGGACCGAACCGACUAAUGUUGAAAAAUUAGCGGAUGACUUGUGGCUGGGGGUGAAAGGCCAAUCAAACCGGGAGAUAGCUGGUUCUCCCCGAAAGCUAUUUAGGUAGCGCCUCGUGAAUUCAUCUCCGGGGGUAGAGCACUGUUUCGGCAAGGGGGUCAUCCCGACUUACCAACCCGAUGCAAACUGCGAAUACCGGAGAAUGUUAUCACGGGAGACACACGGCGGGUGCUAACGUCCGUCGUGAAGAGGGAAACAACCCAGACCGCCAGCUAAGGUCCCAAAGUCAUGGUUAAGUGGGAAACGAUGUGGGAAGGCCCAGACAGCCAGGAUGUUGGCUUAGAAGCAGCCAUCAUUUAAAGAAAGCGUAAUAGCUCACUGGUCGAGUCGGCCUGCGCGGAAGAUGUAACGGGGCUAAACCAUGCACCGAAGCUGCGGCAGCGACACUAUGUGUUGUUGGGUAGGGGAGCG
rnacentral:rRNA from 1 species